UUGCUUUGGCAGCAUAUAUACUAAAAAUGAAUAAAAAUAAUACAAAGAUUAGCAUGGCAUCUGAAAAAGGAAGAUAUUCCAAUUUGUGAAGGGUUUCAUAUUUAA